GAAUUAAAAUUUUUCAUUUUUAAAAUGUUUUAUUUGGAUAUGAUAAUUUAAAUUUAAAGAAUUAAAGUUUUCUUGUUUGGAUAAAGUGUUUUAAUUACAUUCAAAUAUAAACAAAUUAGGGCAUUGAUCUCUCUACCUCCCCAAUUUCAUCUUCAUCUUCCUAUUUUUUUUUAACUUUUCUUUAUUUACAAAAAUAACUUUUUUUAUUAUUUCUUUUUACUUUUUUAAUUCUGUUAAUUAAGUAACCCUAAUUUUUACUUUCUACUUCAGCUUUCACAAACUUUCAUAGACUUUCCAAGACAGCCCCACCUCCCCUUCGGAUUCUCACCUUCACGCUCCACACAUUUCAUUUUCUAAAACUUUCCAACUCUUCCAGUCAUCUCUUCCUGUGCUUUUUAGCUUUUGGUGUGUGCGACGGUGCAGUGGGUGUGUGCGGCGGUGCGGCUUGAGUGUGCGGCGUGAGUGUAUGGUGGUGUGACGCGAUUGUUGCUUCGUUUCGUUUCUGCCGUGUCCGAGAGGUUAGUUUUCGUUGCUCAUGAUAUAAAGGUUGUGUUGAUUUCUUGGUUUGUAAAUGUAUGUAAUUUAGGGUUUAUUGUGUUUAUUUUGUGCGCGAUUGUUCUUUUGUUUCGUUUCGUUUUUUUCUCUGAUGCUUCUAGUAAAGGUUUCUGUGUGCGUAAGAGGAAGAAGACAGGUCUAAACGGAUGUC
rnacentral:lncRNA from 1 species